UGGCAACGGGUGAGUAACACGUGGGCAACCUGCCCAAAAGAGGGGGAUAACACUUGGAAACAGGUGCUAAUACCGCAUAACCAUAGUUACCGCAUGGUAACUAUGUAAAAGGUGGCUAUACUACCGCUUUUGGAUGGGCCCGCGGCGCAUUAGCUAGUUGGUAGGGUAAAGGCUUACCAAGGCAAUGAUGCGUAGCCGAAUUGAGAGGUUGAUCGGCCACAUUGGGACUGAGACACGGCCCAAACUCCUACGGGAGGCAGCAG
rnacentral:rRNA from 1 species